rnacentral:RNase_P_RNA from 1 species
UGAACAGGUCGGGCGGUCGCUGCUGAUUCAAAUCUCAAAUAAUCAGAUUUCAGAUCUCAAUUUCAGGUCUUGGAUCCAGCUUGAGAUAAGGUCAGGAGAGGAAAGUCCGAACACCAAAGGGCAGCGAGCCCGCUAACGGCGGGGCGUCCGAUAAUCUCGGAUUACAGACUUCAAAUCCUGGGUGAAAACUUGAAGUUGCCGCUGGGUCGGCAUUGGUCAACCGCGGAAUUGAAAUUUGCAAUCUGAGAUUAAUUGGACGACGACAAGUGCAACAGAAAGCAAACCAGCUUGGUUGGAAAUCUCAGAUCUAAGAUUUGGGAUCUCAAAACUGAGUGAUGGGUGAAACGGUGCGGCCCCCAGGGGCUUAAAGUAAGAGCGCACCGGCGCGUCUGGUAACAGAUGCGGCCAGGCAAACUCCUCGCGGUGCAAGAUCAAAUAGGGAGGCGUCAAAAGGGCUGCCCGCCCAAAGUGGUGCAAACCGCUACGACCUCCGGGUAGAUCGCUUGAUCCAACUGGCAACAGUUGGACUAGAUGAAUGAUCGCCACUCCGAUUUGAGAUCUCAGAUCUUAAGUCCCAAAUCUGAGACUCAACAAAGCCAGAUUUUUUGAGCUUAAGAUUUAAUAUCUCAAAUCGGAGAACAGAAUUCGGCUUAUAGACCUGUUCUACUU